AGAACUUUCGUUUGUUCGCCUUCUAAAAGGCCUACUGACCUGCCGGUGAAAAGCCGGUUACAAAACAAAUAAUAAGACGUAGUGAAAAAGUACCAAAACAACUGAAGCCUACAUCCCACUACGUCUGGGUUGCCCCUUCCUAUGAACCUUGAGUCAAUAGAUAGGGUCAACUAUACCAAAGUGGAAGGGCCACUAUCUAAGCUAUUAGUGGGCUGGUUUGAACUAUUGAUUUACUGAAUCGAGUGAAGCUGUGUUGCGUAACAUAUAGGUCGCCAAGGCCUAGAAGUACAAGUGGUCGCCCUAACGGUCACUCUCAAACUCACUACUUGAGUGACGAAAGUCACUUAGCUUCUUUAAUAGGGCUUGCCAAAGAACCCCUCCGGGGCCCCGGGAAGAGGAAGAAGGAGAUAGAGCAAAGGUCUCCUCUUUCUGUCCGCUCUUCCCGGCAUGUAGAGAUCCGAUUGGGCUUAUAGUUUAAUUGGUUGAAACGUACCGCUCAUAACGGUGAUAUUGUAGGUUCGAGCCCUACUAAGCCCAUCUGACCUGCUUAAUCAAUGACUCCGGUAGUCACCUGAACCACUCUCUCGGAUAGCCCACAGCCUCUCUUCUGGAUGCGAAAGAAGAUUCGAUCAACGUACAAGGUUUGCCUUCUUGUGAGAAGGAGGGUUCUGAAUUGUGUUCUCAGUGCAAAGGGAGUCUUUGAGAAGGUUCCGUUUUUCUGAAGAGAGAGAAGAUCAGUAGAGCAGUCCGGCAGCUAUUCGGGGGUCAGCUUUGGGAUUUGCCUGAUCGACCCCUACCAGUGUAUUAAUCUACAAAAAUGAAGACUGACAUUCGUCAAUUUACCGGAUCUAUCCUCUUCUACUAACUUUACAAAAUGGAAGGGAAAAUGUGAAGACCAAAGAUGUCAACUACUAAGCAUAGUCAAUUGCAAAUCGGCCGGUUGGUUUGCUUCUCUCCAAGUAUGGGAGAUUUUCCAAUCUUCGAAAUACGCUCGUACUUUCUUGAUCUUAUGAAGAAGGGGCUUUCCUUAGCUGCGGACUUUGGGAUCUUGAGAGUAGACCAUGUCUUACGUUAGGGAAUCCGAAUCAAUCCAAAUCCUCUGACACUCCUUUUCAGCUGCUAUUUGAAUACAUGUUCAGAUGCAAAAGAGCUCGACUUCGAGUAUGGUCUUGUUCUUAACUGCUUGAGAGAACGCAUAUAUCCCCUUUUUCUUGCUAAACCUCCACAAGCCUUCCCAUGCUCGCUAAUUGAACCGUCCGUCUUCAUCUUAAUCCAUUCGUUUCCCGGUGGUCAACACACAAUAGAAUAUGUUUGUUUUUGAUCGGAUUGAGACAAAAGUACCAUUUUUUAGGAUGUUCGCCGAUUCUUCCUCUUCUUUCUCUCAUAAAACUUGAGAUACUAGCUUCUAAUCUGCAUAUUUUUGCAAAUCCUUUUCCAUUUGGAUUUUUGAAAACAUUAACUUACCUCUAGAAUUCCACUAUAUAUAACAUUGACGUUCCGCCAAAAUGUGCCAGAGCGAGUGAAAGGCAAGCCUACCCACGAUGUUCACUUGCCAUCCCCAACAAAUCUGCUAGCAUCCCAUUCGAGUUCCGCUUGGAAACAAGAAGCUCUUCUUUAUUUGUGUUUUUUUGCCCAAGAUAAGCCCAUUUUCCAGAGCCAAGCCUAUUAUAAGAGUUCAACUGCCAUAUUCGGAUGGAGUCCAAAUGCUUGCAUCUUGGGCUGAAGAAUGACCCAAUUCCUUAGCUUCCAUGCAUUAAUCAUAUCCGGGGAUGUGGGAAUAGGGAGAUGCCAUCCAUCUACACGACACGAUAGCUUAAGCAAAGCAUAGAGAGAGCUAAGCUAGAAUACAAACACAAAAGAUAUAGCACUAGCGUAGGCCUACCAUAGAAAAGUCUAAAAAAACCUUUUCUUUGUCUGUCAGCGGGAGAGAAAGCAAGCUUACGGUGCUUUGGAUGUUAAUGUUUUUGUAGGAUACUAAACACCUAUAUAUAUAUAUAUAUAUACAUUGUUUUAUACUCCUCUGUACAAGCGUAUAAGAGCUAUUAUGCUCGAUAAAAGGCAGUUUAUGAAUAAGUAAGUCUUUCUUUUUUGAAUAGCCGGCGGGAGAACUUACUUUUCCGGCUAUCGUAUGAACAAUGUCGUCCGCUUUUCUUUUUUGAGUUUCCAUGGAUCUCUCCGACGAAGUAGCGGAAGCAUGAAAUGCUAUUCACGAAUGAGCAUUGCUAUCUGAUUCCUACAAAAGAGAUAGGGGAAGCUCACUUUUGUCAAAUGGGGCUAGAAAGCAUAGAACCCCGUCUUAAAUCAACCGGUGAAUCCAUAAUCAAAGUGAGGAGAACAGGAUAUGUUAUGAGAAGAGUGACGUGGGAAUAGAUUGCAUUUCAAAAAGAAUCUAUACACUCAAUAAGCCAGAACGGGAAGAUUCAACUGCAAAAAGAACUGGUACGGUGUGAGAAGAGGCCUAUUCUCAAUAAUGAACAAGAUGAUGCAGCUCUAGUUGCUGGAGGCAGAGGACGUGGACGCGGCAGGAAUAGAUCCAGGGGGAGGACGCGAGUAAAAAAGGCUAUGAGGAUCAUAAAAAUUGAGGUGGAGGGAGAUUGUAUAACUAAGGAUCGAGUAGAGGAAGACGUCAGUCUUUCAGUUGUAGAUGAUCAUUACCGAAAAAGAUGUACAUUCGAAUGAAAAAAGAGGGCCUGUCCGAGAGGAAAUAAAGAAUAUUCAUUUGCGGAUUCUUCCGAACAAGCAACGGAUUGAGCAACUAGCGCGAAAGCCGUUGCGCGUUAGCGCAUCCGUUUUCUUGCUCGGGAACGAGGGGACUAAAAAAUUGUCAAAAGCCAUCUUUCUCUUUAACUAACUAAGUAUUCUUAAAAAUAUGUAUGUCUAUGAGGUAUUUUGACUUAAUGGGAAGUAGGCAUCUCAUUCAUAGGCAAGAGCAGGCCGACCUGAAGGCAUGAACUGAAGGCAGGCAAGAAGGCAUUAAAUGGCUUUUAAGGAUUCGGUGUAAAGAUGCGGAGUACAGUAUCUUUCUUUCUAUAAAAAUAUAUGGAAUCCGCGAUCCUAUCCUAUUUUUGAAGUCAUUUUUGCAUUCGAAAUUAUUUUCUUUCGCAAGAGCACUCAAACAUAGAUUGAAGAUCUUCAGUUCUUCGGUCGGCAGCCGCAGUCAGUAAUAGCAAGCAGCGUCCCAUACUACUUUUCCUUUGAAUGUUCAUUCUGGAAUUGAAUGUCACAAACAAGACUCAUACUUCAGAAAAAAACUGCUUGAAUCAGGAGCUGUAAUCCGCAGCUUUAGAGAUAGGGGCGGCAGUCACAGCAUUGGCAGCAGUGAGCAGAGGUCAAGAAGAAGAAGCGGUAAGAGCAGUUAGAGAGCAAGCAGCGGCUCAUCAAACCUUUCUGUUUCGGUUACAGCUCAAGCGGUUUGUUUUCAAGUAAGGUACUCAAGAAAGCUUUCCUCCUGAAGACAGAGUUUCGGGUGAGCUAGCAAAGAAAGUAAGCAGUUAACCGGAAAUUUAGGUCAAAUUAGCAUUUCGUAAGUUUUAGUAAGGCCAGUUAUGGGAAGCAGGCCAUGGAGAAAGAGAGGAAUCAAUCGUCCAACGCUAUGUUAACAAAUACGUGAAAGGUUUGAUUAUUCCAUACACUUGAACGCGUUCCUUAUCAAUAGGUUUCGGAGAGACCAGCAAUGAUUGCUUGACGAUCUUCACUUCAUGAGACUAGACUUAACUCAAGCUUCAUACGAAAGCAUUUACUAAACUAAAGCCGUUGAGCCAAGUCAAGCGAAAGACUUAUUCGAAGAAAGCUUUAAGAGAGUUUGUUGUCCCAUGCCUUUCUGAUGGUGAACCUCCUACUGCUUCUUCCAAUUCUGAAACUGGGAUUGGCCUGUUGACUCUGCCCUUCCUUUAGACAAAGAGCCCCCAGUUUCGCCAAAAGACCUCUGCGUGUUGUCAUUCAACUCCACACAAGCCUGUCGUUGGGCUACUUGCGUCUUUGGUAGAUACAAAGGAGAAGUGACGGUCGGUGAAAUAGCCCUCCAACUCGUAGCUCUUCUUGCUUAACGUGAAAACUCUCCUUUCCGAUGAAAACGAGAAAGAAAGAUGUCAACUACUAAAUGUGCUACUUUGUGAAUUUGAUACUAGGUAGUUCUCCCCCCUCGGCAGGCAAGUAGCCUUUGCGACUUACAUCUCUUCUACAGGAGGGUAUGAACCCCCGGAUCUAGGCAAGGUGAUGGCGGGGAACUCCAACAGGUUUUGGUUUCCUCCUCACUGAUUGAUGGAGCCCAAGACUGCUUGACGACUUUUGGUGUGGGGUCAGCUUGAGCCGAGGUCGUCUCGUAACAGGAACAGGAAGAAUAGAAAACAAGCACACAAGCAGGAAUAGGAAUAUUGGCUGUCACUAUCCUCUGGUUAGCAAUCAACUACGGAGCUGGCAACUCACAAGCCAGCAAGUCAACCUCUGUCAGAUCUUCGGCCCAGUUUAUGGACGAAACUGACUCUACUUCCUCAUUCAGGCUGAUAUGAACUGCAAAAGUUUGCAUCUUUAGCGUGGAUAUCGUAGGUAUAAAUGAAAUAAACUGGAAUCAGGAAGUUGUUUCUUUCUCUCGAUACGCAGAGGGGAGAGCAUGCCCUGUCUCAGGCAGUAUAUCAAUCGUUAACGAUCUUACCGGGACACAUCCAAUUGAAACUAGAAUCCCAACCUCUUUGGAAGAAGCUCCAAAUAGAAAAACUUUCAGAGCGGGGAAUCUUCCUACAAACUAAAAUGUGUUAAAUAUAUAUAUACCUACAUCUGCCUAGAAAAACUGGAGUUUCAGGCACCCUCGUGGGAGACAUUGGAUGUUGUCAACCGGCCUUAAAAUGCUCAUAAACAGCUCUUCCCCCAUUGACUUAGUUUUCGCUCUCCUCUGUUUCUAGUAGAAAAAGCCUGAUCCUACUUUGCGAGUCCAACAGGUCUAGUAUUCUUUUCUUUUUCGUCUGAGGGAACGUGGUAGCCUUGAUCUAGCUAAGACUUGAGAUUCCAUUCUAUUUCAUUCUGAUCUCGUUAUGAGGAAAUAGGUGAGGCGAGGCUAAGACAAGAUAUGGGACUUCCCGCGCUAAGUUGUUCCAAUCUCUGUACUUCAGUAACCGAACUCGAAAGUGCUGCUAUGAGCUAGAUUUGUGCGUACAUGGGUAAAGAAGCGAGCAAGGCUACCUUUCCGCUGGAAAUCCUAUACCUGAGUGCUAUUUGAUCAGAGUGAGUUGUAAUUGAGCUUGAUUUACUUGCUCUUCUAUUUGCAUUUUUUGUUAAGUAUGUGGGUGACUCAUUGUCGUGAGAUCGGUUGGUCGAAAAUGCUUUUCAAGUAGUCUCAGUCGGCGAACUCGGCUCCACAGAAGAAGUCAGUAGUGAAUCAAAGAACUCAUGCAUGUAAUCAGUGACUAGGGAUCGAUCAAUCGGAUGCAACCGAGCCAUACAAAAAGAAUUGUAAAAGGGAUGACGCAAGAGCAGCGGAAGGUGACUUAGCAUCAUCAGUCAUUUCCUAUAGAAAGGAAGGAAAGGAUCUCUCUUCUGUCUAGACGAAAGAUCUCAUUUUUGCUACUGCUCUCCCUCUUAUGAGUCUCUGUCAGCCGUUGUUUAGUAGCUUUCAACGCGAGUUCAGUCAUUCUCUUAGAUACUGAAAAGUACGAACUGACUUAAAGCACAAACAUGAAGGAAAGGCUGAAUUCGAAACAUCUUGAAUCGGAUUCUCUCUUCUCAGAGAGCUUGAGAGUGAAAUGAGUGGGCCGGCCAAAGAAGACCACUAUGGAAGUGAAAGGGGAGGGCAAGAGCGGUUCGAAGACCAUAGCCCGAUGUGGGUACAUUGGCGUCAUCGUCGUAUGAAAUUCACGCACAAAGGGCGCCGCAUCACUCUCGAUGGCAUUCAAGAUAAUCCUUCCUGCCGUCCAAUCUCUGUCCGUAAGCUGCAAGGAUUGCUGAAAUGGGGUGCAGUUAGCCAGUGUGUGCAAGUGCGUCAGAUUCACCAGGAGCAUGAUCUGCAAGCAAUUACUCUAGAUGCUGAUCCUGCAGAGCAGACACCUCCAGCUGUUCAAGAACUGCUACAGGAGUUUGAUGCUUUGUUCCGGGAGCCAAAGGAAUUACCCCCUCGUCGUGCCUGUGACCACCAAAUUCCGUUGGUGCCAGGUGCAGUGCCAGUCAAUGUCCGGCCAUAUAGAUAUGCACCCCACCAGAAAACAGAGAUUGAGAAGCAAAUAUGUGAGAUGAUGAACAAUGGCAUUAUUCGUCGCAGCACGGGCCCCUUCGCUUCUCCAGUGCUCUUGGUACGUAAGAAGGAUGGAUCCUGGCGCUUUUGAAAUAUCCUAUGCCAGUCGCGGGUUGUCCCAAGCUCAACGUAGGUUCGCAAGAGAAAAAGAGGGGGGUACCUUGUCUGUCGGUCGAAGAAGGCAACAAACAAGUGGAAGCAACCGAUGCUUUUGUCAUUCUACUCCUUGAUGCCAGUCUGUGCUUGCUGUCAUGCUGGCAAAAGCGGGGGUUUCGGCCGGCUUUACCUACUAUUGGAUUUGAACCAAUGACUCUCGCCGUAUGAAAGCGAUACUCUCACCGCUGAGUCAAGUAGGUCAAGCUGAGUCAAGUCAGAGAAAAUCAAAAAAAAGAGAAAGCCAACCAAAGCGCAACCAGAGUUCUCCGCGGGGUGGAGCACUAAGAAAGAGAAAGCGUUAUCGCUAUACGAAAUGAAGCAGCGGCUAGCACACUAAGAUAAACCACUUGGUUUAAAAAACAGCUUAGUGGCGUGUGAUUUCAACACUAUUCCAGAGGUAUAUGACAAAAAUUGUGGGAGAGACCUCUAUGUUCCUAAGCUUAAAUCAUUCUAUGAUUGUUUACAAUUCUGUCAUCUAUUUUACAUGAGGGCUAGAGGGUGGUCUUGGAGCAAGAAAAGUAUUGAGUCCAGGCGCAUUAUGGUACGACUGAGACUGAGUUGGGCAGGAGCAAGCGGUUGGAUUGGCCUGACUCUUCAAGACCAAAGAUACUCGGCUUCCUCUUCAUCAAGUCACGAAAUUCGACCCUUAGUUAGCAGCACCAAAACUAGAGCAGGCCCAAGACAAGCAAGAACAGUCAGUCAGCACCGAUCAGGCAGGAAGCAGACAGUAAGCUAAGAAUACUGGAAGAAGGUGGUCGCUCAGCCAAAGCCCUAGUUCAACCAGAACAGUAGGGAAAGCGGUAGAGGCCGCUCCGUAGCUUUGGUGGUCGCACUCUAAUCCGCUUUAGAAGAAGCAGCUAUUCUAUUGCUUGGCUAUAAAGCCUAUAAGUAAGAACUCUGGGGAAGGAAUCCGAUCUGCAGAUGAAGCAGAAAAAGGCAAAAGGCGAGCGCACAGCGAGGAAUUUUCCAUACUAGAUCGACUCAACAUUACCGAAUCUACUCUGAGACUCUCUUCUCUUCAUGGUUGGUUGUAAAAAAAAGAGUCUCUUUAGUCCCCAACUCUAUGGAUUUUAAUUUUUGGCUCAACACCCUGCUCUCGACGUUUGCUCGGGACGGGAGGCUAUGAAAUAGUUGAAAGCAGAUGCAACAUUAAAGAAAGUCAAUCCAGUAGCCUUAAGUCGUACCGAACACUAUGUCCUAAUUGUAAGGGAUUUCUUUCAACCCGGUGGUAAGCCGGUGGUACCCGGAGAAAACGUUGCCCGAAGGAAGGGACUAAACCCAUCUGUUCAAGUAGUAGCCAAGUAGUACCGAAGGAGUAUCUCCGAGUUAAGGAGUACCGAAGGGAAGGAAGAAAAACCAAGUGAAACAAAUUGAUCGCAAUGGUCUAAGAUAUAGUCACUGAACAAUAACUCAGAUCUGAUGUCGGAUCGAAACAAAAAUGCAAAAAGACAACACAAACGUAAAAGAUCGAACUCUAAUUUAGUUACUGAGUGAGAUGUUUUGCUACCUACAAAAGGUUGGUUCUUCCCCUACAACCCCUAGCCCUCCAAGGCAGUACUCUUCAUCGGCAAAUCCGAAUGUCUCGAUCCGAGUUGAGACCCACCUACAGAAAUUGAUCCAUCAACGGCUUUUUCUAUAGUGGCAGGAAGUCUCCAACUCUUCGAUAUGCGCUAGCUAGGUAAUCCCUUUACUUAAUCUGAUAUGGGAUCUCUUGAUACCAGAAAGGAACUGAACUGGCUUGCCCGGAAAGAAUGGAUUGCGACCCUUGGAGAGCUAAUGGUACUGGACUGAUAGCGCACUGAUUGAACCGACCCCGGACGUACCACUGGGGAACCUGUGGCUGGAGAGAAUCUCUCGCGAUGGAGAAAUGUCAAAUGGGAAGCUCUAUGGAGGCACACAUCAUGUCGUUCGUCAUCGAAAUGGGACUGACUCGCUCGGGAACAAGCACAGGAUUGAGGAACUUUCUGGCGUAACACACCCGUAAUGGGGCAAUCUGACUAGCUGGUCAAAACCCUUUCCGCAGUGUUUAAGUGGUGCUGGAAGGAAUCAAGAGGGGAGGAGGAAAGCUGUACCAGGUGGAAGGAGAAGAGCUGAUUGCUACUAAAUCAGAACAAGCUUAGUUCUGCAUGAUGGCUCAAUGGUGCAUGGUCAACUCAGUAAACCUAACAUCUCUGAUCUCUGAUCCAAUUUCAACCCUACUGAACUCUUAAGAGUAGGUGUUUCAAGAACCUAAGUCCUUACAAAAAAAAGAAUCCAUGAUCACUAUAGACCCCCGAAGGUACUGAGCCCAAACAUCUGAAGCCAUACGGAUACUCACAUCUGCAAAAGGCUGAGAUUGAGAAUUGAGGAAUUGCUGAAGAAUUCACUGAUACAAUCCUCUACUAGCCCCUUUGCUUCACCUGUGCUGUUAGUGAAGAAGAAGGAUGGGACAUGGAGGAUGUGCAUUGAAACCAGGCAGCUGAAUGCUAGUACAGUAAAGAAGAAAUACCCAAUUCCGGCACAUAGAUGCCCUAUUGGAUGAGUGGUGCUAAAUAUUACAGCAAGAUUGACUUAAGAUCUGGCUAUCAUCAGAUCAGGAUGAGAGAGGAAGACAAGCCCAAAACUUCAUUCAGAACCCUGUAACUAUGAAUUCAAUGUGAUGCGGGCUUACAAAUGCUCCUGCAACGUUUCAAGCACUCAUGAAUGAUGUGUUCAAGCCCAGAAGAUUUGUGUUGGUUUUAUGAUAUACUUCUUGACAGUAAAACACUGAAGGAGCAUCAACAGCACUUGCAGCUAACACUUUUUCUGCGGAAUCAGCUACAUGCUAAGAUGAGCAAGUGUGAGUUUUGACUUUUAAAGGCAGAAUAUUAGGGGUAAAAUGGAAAAUAAGGUGGCAGAUGCAUUUAAUAGGAGAAAGGCCGGAACAUCUGUCCAGCUGGUCCAAGGUGUGCAAACCGCUUUGUGAAGGCCGACUGAGAAUGAGGGACCUAGUAGUGUAUUUCGAAGCCUUCUAGGCAAAGCUGCUUUGGCGUGCACUGAAAGGGCGUCUUCCUUUCCUAUAUUAUACCAGAGGUGAGUGCAUAAUCUGGUGUAGAACGGAGGGGAUAUCCUAAGUUGAUGUGCACAAGUGCUUCCUCUGAUUGAAGUCGAUUGCCUCAACCAAUUUCUUAGUACAUCAACACAAGAAGUGGCGAAUUGGGGAUGGUACUACCUCAGUGAAACUGUGGGAAGAUGGGUAGGUGGGGCCUCUCAACCAAGACAUCGCGGUUGGCGAGUGGGGACUCUACUGAAUUCUAGCAUGGGGGUGGUAGAUUACUGACGUGAAGCCGGACCUCUAUGAGUGCUCUACAUGGCCGGAUCAAAGCUAUUCUAAAAACUAGAUCCAUUGGAGUGGGAAGUACUCAAGAUGUAGAAGAGGACUCAAGCAGGUUUGGUCCUCUUUCUCUGAUGUGUUCUUAGAACCCACUACCCUCCCUCCUAAAAGACCAUGUGACCAUCGGAUUCACCUCACGAUAGUCAACCAGUGAAUCAAAGGCCUUAUAGGUAUUCACACCACCGGAUGAAAUUGAAGCCAUAAUCAAGGAGUUACUCUAGAAUGGUACUCUACAACCUAGUUCAUGCCUCACCGGCUCUUCUUUACAAGAAGAAAGAAGGUUCGUGGCGCCUAUGGAUUAUAGGCAACUCAAUGCGCAAACCGUAAAAAAGAAAUACCCGAUACCGGUCAUUGAUGAUCUUCUGGAUGAGCUACACGGUUAUACUGUGUACUCAACAAUCGUUUUAUCUAUUCCCACAUCGAUUCACCAAGCCUGGAACUCGUUAUGGAUAGAAGGUCCGUAGAAGUGAAAGUAGGACGACGGGAGAAAAGAGUAAGGAGUACCGGAAAAAGAAGAUUUUGGACUUUCUGCCCACGAAGAAAUAGUAGCAUUUGAAACUGGAAAGAUUUACUUUGGAUAGUAAAUCCCCAAGGAAGGGCUAUAAUCCAAACAAAGGAGGAGCUAGCGGACAGUUCGAAUUUCAAUGAUUAGGGAGGGGAAUGAAACACUUGUCUUUCACAAUCAAUUCUUUGUUUUUUUAUGUUUAGGACACACGAAGCGAGAGCGAAACUCGCUAUGAGGAGAAGACUCGGCAAGAGAGGUUUGAACAAGAGGAACUGCCGUCUAGUUGAGUUUGAUCAUUCUCUCUUUCUAUCUCUCUUUCUUUCAAGAGCUGAAUAAGGGCAUAUCCACAAAGGAGAGAGAAAUCGGACUUUCUUCUUUACCCCCCUCAUUAUUCAAGACGUGAAUAUAAAGUGUAUUGUACUCCCUUGGAUCUUUUCCGGGAUCUUUACUCGUCAUUGAUCAAGGAAGCUAGAAGGAAGAUGGGUGGUAGGGUGAAUGGACAUUCGUAUCCUCUCCGACUCGUCGGUUAGGAGAGUAGCGACCAAAAAGAAAUCAUUAUACAGGAUAACUGAUGUAGAGAUAAAAUGUAGGAAGGAGAAAGUUGGUUUCAAUGAGUCAUGUGAAUUGUAGAAGAAAUAGGUAAACAAGGCGGGUUAAUAUAUAUACGUUGAAAAGCAAGGGGAUAAAUUGAACGAAAUGAAGAGCAAUCCAGAAUCCGAUUUUGUAUACUAUAAGAAAAAGGCACUGAAAACUUGGAAACGGAAGAUGUUGUAACUGAUAUGGGUAGUCACACAUUAGGCAAAAUGGUGUAGUGGUUGGGCCAGGUAGCUUCUUCUUUUGAACAGCAUUUCAUUAUGUUUUGGAUGCUUUCUACUAUGUUUCAAGUGAUCAAAGAAGAGUUUAUUUCCCACUACUCAUAUCACAUCUUAUGUGUUGAUGCAAGCUGACUAAAUCAAUAAGAUGGUAUUCGUAUUUGAUUAGACAAGAUGGUAUUCUUCUUUAUUCCGGAGCACAACAAUCCGGAUCUCUAUCUUAUAGCUUAUCCUUCCUAUUCUGUAUGUAUUACGGUCAUGUCAAGUCAAUGGUCUGUCUACCCUGCAACCGGUCUUGAAUGGCUUCAGUGAAUUGUUUGCUGAGCCUACAGAGUGACCUCCUAGGAGGACAAUAGACCACAAAAUACCCUUACUACCAGGCACUAAACCUGUCAAUCAUUAGAGAAGGGACAGAGUUCAAGAUAAGACUAUCUUGCCUGUUUGGUAGAGAGAGUACCGGGUAUUCCGAUGGUUAAAGAUUCAAGUCUUAGUGGCAAAGGGGGACAGCUUUGGCCUGCAACCGUUUCCACUUUACGGCCCACAGCUUGUGUUCUUCGGUAUUAAUUCGGUUUCUGUUUGUUUGGCUUGUCUCGUGCACCACCUGAAUUGAAUCAUAGUAAUGGGACUUUGGUAAUCCAGUGAUGAAGUCAAUGCUGAUAAUGGACCAUGCUUCAUCAGGAAUGGGUAGAGGAUCGAAGAGGCCAGGGAGUUUUUAAUGUUCUACCUUAGCUUGCUGACAGAUUUGACACUUGUUGACAAAAGAUUCCACUGAUUGAAAGAUUCCUGUCCAAGCAAAUAGUGCCUUGACGCGGUGAUAAGUAGCAGUAAUGCCAGAGUGGGCACCAAUACCACUGGCAUGAAGUGCUUGCAAGAUGUUUUUUUUCAUUUAGAAGUUUGCACCAACCCAUACUCUUCCUCUAUAUCGAAUGACCCCAUUAUGCAAUGAAUAUUUGCUAUUCUUGUGAGUGCUCAGGACUGCCAAUUCAGAUAGUCAAUUCUGGGUGAAUGUGUCUUUGUUGUAACCUGCAACAAUAUCAGUGAGCCAUUGUGGUUGACAGGAAGUAAUGGCAUUGAGUUCAUCUGGCUCAUGUAAUCUAGAUAGUGGUGCAUCAGCUGCCCUAUUCUCUGAGCCUUUUAUUGGAUGGUAUAUUGUAAUCCCAUGAGCUUGAGGAAAGGAAAGCUUUGUGCUGCAUUGGUGUUUUAAGUCUUUGAGCAGUCAAAUGAGCUAAGCUCCUGUGAAUGAAACGCCUGUCCUGCUAAGCCCAAACUCUAAUGUGCUUGACUUGGAAGUAGGCCACUCUUUCACUGUGAGGAUCUUCUUUUAGUCUGUAGCCACCCCUUGCCCACUAAUGACAUGACCCAGGUACUCUAUCUGUGGUUGAGCAAAUGAACAUUUAUUCAACUUCACAUAUAGUUGAUUCUGCUUCAGAAGGUCAAAUACUUGCUGCAAAUGGGUGACAUGAUCUUGCAAGGAUUUGCUGUAGAUUAAGAUGUCAUCAACAAAAACAAGUACACAAACCCUAGUCAGCUCAGCCAGAAUUGUGUUCAUAGCACUCUGGAGGGUGGGUGGUGCAUUUGUGAGCCCAAAUAGCCUAAAAUUCAUAGUGACGUGGGUCUUGAAUGCCGUUUUGUAUUCGUCUGCUUCAUGUAAUCUUAUCUGAUGGUAACCAGCUCUCAGAUCCAGCUUAGUAAACCAAACAGCACAAGAUAACUCAUCCAACAAUUCUUCAACUACAGGCAUUGGGUAUUUUAUUAGACGAAUCCAUCUUAUUUCCUUAUUUCUCUGUUUUGGUAGCAGGAGAAGUAGUUUGUUCAGCCCGGACUUCAAAGUAGUCUCCCCCGUUGACCUUCUUUUUUAGAUAGAAUCCUCAAUGAGUGGAAAGGACUCCCAAACUUGCUCCACAGUACUAUACCAUACAGAGCCGCGCCCUUGUGAUAUGAUAAGAAGAAAAGGGGCCAGGCCGCCCUCUUUUCUUUUCCGCACCAAGCCUUCUUGUAAAAUAGGGUGUAUAGCUCAGUUGGUAGAGCAUUGGGCUUUUAACCUAAUGGUCGCAGGUUCAAGUCCUGCUAUACCCAAAACAAAAAAAACACUCUUGUAUUCGUAAGGAUGCAUAGUAGCCUUCAAAGAGCACUCUUUGGCCUUGAGAAAAGCCCCUUUCUCAUCAACAUCUCGACUUCGCUCGUUGUUUGAGGUCAGUAUAAAGGAGAUCAGACUGGCUCGGUCAUUGAUAGGCCGGCCUUCUCCUUAUUCAUUGGAUAGGGCGCGGGGGAAAGUCAAGUCAAGCACUAGUUAGUUGGGGUGGGACGCACCAAAGCAGCGUUCGUUGCACUAGCGCCUUAUCUUUUGAAGCUAAACAGAGGCUCGAAAGACGGAGUACGUCCGAAGUCGUUGGCUGCCUUUUUGUAGUGCGCAAGUCAGAGUGAACUUCUUCUUCUGUUCUGCGAAUCUACUAACGAGAACUGCCGUACAGUCCUAUCUUUUUUUAAGAAAGAUCGUAGAUGAACGUUUCGUUUCGUUACCUAAGUAGUUGAGCAAUUCAUUCCAAGGUAAACAAACAGGUAUUUCCUUUUCUCGUUCAGUCCUUCUCUCCUUCCAUCCCAGUAGGCCUAUUCAUGCUUUUUUGCUAUCCAUCUUGAUCAAAUAGAAGAAGGGGAAAUUCAGACUAGGCAAAACACCUCAAAAAGUGAAAAAAAGAUAAAACAACUUUCUUUCAAGUAGUAAACCAUAGUUCUCAUCCUAGGAAACCAUAUCGAUCAUCGGUUCAGAGCUCCCAACUACGAAGCUCUUUUCUAGAGCGAGUCAACAAUUCGUGGAUCCAUGGUUUGGAUGAAGCUAUGUACCCGGGUAGAGAUGAUUUGUCUCAAAGAUGUUCCGCUCAUCCAAGAAUCUGAAACUUCAUCUACAUAAACUCAUAAAUAGCCCUUUCCUUUCUUUUCUUGACUUCAAAAGGUAAUCAAUCCUUUCUUUUCAUCUUUUAUCAAGUCUUCCUCUUCCUGAUUGAGUCAAUCAGGGAUAGAAAUUCGGAUCAACUAUGAGGAGUAGGGCUGCUAGGCAAGUGAAUGAACUCUGUCCUAGGCAAUUCCAAUAAGUUCAGUGAAGUGAGGGCGAAGCCUUUUUUGAGAGGGAAAAUACACUCCAAAUGAUAUUCCAUAAUGGAAGGAAUGAGUGGAAGAUUUACUGGAAGAAAAAAACUACGAUACUUUUCUAGUCGUAGGUAGGGCUACCUAUCUAGUUUCGUGCUUCGGGCGUACCAGAUUCAGUAGGCUAGGUUAUAGCCGACAGAUUUCUUUAAGAACUAGCCGCCUAUAAGCCUCGCUAGUAGUAUUCCUGCCCAGUGCCGGAGUAGUGACUCACAAGGUAAGUUCUCCUCGAUGCAUUUCCAACACUCUAUUUUUCUACGUACACUUUUGAUUCCUCAGUAGGUAGGGACAACGUUCGAGAUCUCAUCCGACCGUCUAUUUCUCACUGAUUGGGAGAUUGGAUUGGAAUCCGAGGAGAACUGAUUGAAUGUCAUGGAACGAAUGGGGCACUAUGUUGGUUACCCACUGCUAGCCUAGCGGAGAUUUCUCUAUUUGUUGAAAGUGGAAAGGAGUCAUAUUUGAAUCGGAAAGUUGGGCUCGUUCACUCACACCUUUCUUUGAUUAUCGAUGACUUGGCUUCUUGCUCAAGUAAGCACCCGGCAUACCAAUUCAUUAUCCUUGGGGCUCGGCUUGCUCCUUCCUAUCUACGUUAUUCUUUCUUUGUUACUCUCGUAAUGACGUUCCGAAAGAAAUCAAGGUUACCAGGUCACAGCUCUGAUUCUUCUUCCCUUAUAGAACCUUCCCGCAAGAAAUCAGUGGAAGUGGGUCCGCCCCUACAACUCAUCAAAUCAGCCUUCUUUUCUGUUCUGCGCUGUACAUAUUCUCAAGUUAUGAGAAAGAAUGGAUUUGAAUGCAAUUUGGAAUUAACAAAAUAAACGAAUGAAGAAUAUUUUUACCUCUUAUCUGAUAAGCAAUCAAAGCAUUUGAACUGCUCAAUGAACAAUAAAGAAAGAGCUAAGGUAAAAAAGUAUAUGUGUUACUAAUAGUAAACCAAUUUUAUUUGGAGUUUGCUUUCAGCUGAACAUGUUAUAACUACAAAUGAGGUGAGGCUUGAUUAGGUGGCUUUGCAAGAACUAGGGAGGAACACAAGUUAUGUACUUUAGGCUAAACAUAUGAAUUUAGAAGAUCAACUUUUCCAAUUGGACAUAAACAAAAGCAACCAAUAAUAUAUAUAUAUAUAAACUUCAAUAAUAUUUUCUCUAUGGUGAAGUAAUUUCAUCGAUAACCACUAAACGAUUAAGUAGCGAUGUAUGCAAAGCUAGACAACGAACAUGUCAUAAUACACUCGUUCUGCAUAUCUUUAGGAUAAAAGAAAAAACUGCGAAAAAAUCUGUUUUCCUAAAUAAAAAGAUCAAGAAAUCUAUUUUGUAUGGUUCUUAUUUCGUUGAAAACGUUUCCAUGAGACUUUCUUUCAUUGAAGAAGUCCAUGACUUGUUCUAGGUGAUAUGAGGUUGAACAGGCUUUAGAAAAAAAUGCAAAGAAGGGUACAUGAGGGUGGAAUAAAAAUCAAAAAGAUGACCCCUUCUUUCUUCCUGAGCAUUACCGAUAAAUAUUCAUUCUUUAUACGUUAGGUUGGGUUUCAGAUGUAUAUCAUUUAUUAUAUGAAACCAAAAAGAAGAAAUGACAAGAAAGUUGUAUAUAGAUGGAGGAAUAAAUUAUGAUGUGGAAAACAAGGCAGGGGUUCAAAUCCUGUCAUCCCUACCUAUUACUUCUCCUAUGGGCAGUAACGAGGGAUCAAUUGAGAUCGAUUCAAAUUGGACAAAAUUCAGAGUUUCAUUUUUCUAUAUGCAUGCGGUACAAAAAUCAUACUUUUCUUUACUGCUUUAUCUCCCGGAAAGCGCUCUUAGUUCAGUUCGGUAGAACGUGUGUCUCCAAAACCCAAUGUCGUAGGUUCAAAUCCUACAGAGCGUGAUUCUGUUCUUGUUAUGUCGAAUCCAAAAAAAAGAACUUAUAUAAAUAUAAGAAAAUGAGACAGUAAUGAGGUCCAUAUCGUCAUCGUAAUAAAAAGAAAGAUCUGCAAGCAUUCUUUAUGGGAGUCGGGGCUUUCUGAUUUGAAGUUGCUGGAAAAGGACCUCUGUGAUCAGUUGAUCAUUAGUCGUUUUUUUAAGGUAAGUAGGGAGGGGUGUCUUGAUCGAAACCGAACUUCAAUUCCACCCAGCUCAGAUUCUAUGCAGCAGUGGGGAAGACCUGUUUAUACUUUUAUUGAGAAUUCCAUUUCUUCCUGCCGCACCCCAAUUCUUUCCCAGCAGUUGAAAAUUGAUAUGAGAUCUUGAACCCAGGGGGCUCCUAUGUUCUGGGCAGAGGCAUUGAUGUGGGCUAUUAGAAUAAGGUGGUAAGGUCCAGGCAUCUUCAAACCCCACAUAUGCCCUCUUUGAUCUAGUAAGGGGAAUGAAAGAAACAGGAAUGUUGCACAAUAAAGUGUCAGCACUCAUCCCCAAACUCCAUAGGCCCCGCAAUAGAAAGAGUUUACUUCGGUGCCGGAGAGCCGAAACCGCUAACCGAAACAAGACAUAUUCACUUUGACCACAGCCACCCGCACUUGCCUACCCGACUGGCUAUUUUAGCUAUUCUCUCUUCAACCUUCCUCUAACCUAAAAUAGUCGUACCGCUCCCCCUUUAGAGAUAGAUUUCUUUAUUCUCUAAGCUAGCUAAACGCCCGAAACAUAAUAAGCUAAGCCUCCAUCGAUUUAGCCAAAGCAGGCCUGGAGAAAAUAAUGGGAGUCAGUGUCCCUUAAACACCUUGUUUCCUCUUCUUUAUGGUGGCUUCUUCUUAAAUGAAAGAAGAUCUCUGCUGCACUUAUGCCUUCAAACCCGAAAACAGUGGUUAUUACGACACCAGGUGAAAUAGCUGCUUUUUCUUCUCUUCCUCCCCUCGACCUAUUGAAGUUGCGCUCACCCGCAGCCCUAAGCCCUACAGUUCCUUCGCUUACCGCCUAAUCUUAAUCUAUUGCCCUGCCUCCAAGAGAAGAAAUGGCACCAACCGAUACAAUGGCAGCUAGUUCCAGGGAAGCUGCUUCAAUGGAAGUUGGAUUGCCUAGUUGCUUUUGAGUUCGAUUUGAACUAGUUUCCAAGCUUUUUUUUCAUCCAUGCCUAUAAGUAUAAUUAUCUUUUCCAAUCCGAGUGUUCCAUCGGACUUACUCCAUUUGCUUCUAGGGUCCAUUUGCUUCUAGGGAUAGAUAGGGCUGGAGUCGUCAGUGCUAGAAUGAAAUGUGAAUGAGAGCAUAGAUUGAUUGUCUCAUUGCAUGUACGUAUAGUAACCGGUUAAUAAUACUAAGGGUCCCUAAUACUAAUCUCGACAUGAGAGGAACGUGUCCUCUCGGCCUUGAUAUAUACUAACAAAUAUGGUUUUUUCACUCAGACAUGAGAGGUGAGAUCGAUUAUAUGAUGGAGACAGAUGGAGGAGCAGAAAGUGAGAGAUUGUGGCAUGAAGCACAUGUAAGGUGUACAACUCUUGAGACGGAUGCAUCGAGGUGCCGGCCUAUGAGAACGCUCGUCAUAGCAUUGCGCCAUAAUUUUGUGAUGGGUCUUUCGUUUUAAAAAUAGGAGUUUUUCGGGUCUAGUUUACCGGUCCGUCAAUAAAUGCGUAUGAAAAGUGAAAUAGUUGAUGUGAUGGAUGUGCCCGGUAUCGAUCAAUGAAACAUCGGCUCGACGCAGGAUUUCAAUAGAACGAAAAACAUCGUCAGUAGUAGAGGGAUAGGUACUUAUUCCCGGCCAGCGGUAUCAUUGCUGCUCCCCGCCUAAUGCGGAUCAUUGUGCAAUGCUUAUGUGAAAUCUCAAUCCAAAACUUAUUCGUUUCGUUGGAAAAACCGACACCGACGUCAAGAUCAGCCUCCUUUCCUUUCUCUUUAGUUUGGGAGCAGAGCUUAAAAAGAUGGGGGGUCACGAUGGAUCCUUUUUUUAUCCCUGAUUCCAUGGACGGAAUGAUUGUGGAAUUUAACCCUUCGUCGUCAUACCCAAACUCGGUCAAUGGGCCGGCUUUUAGCGUAGAAAGUGUGAGUUCGAACUACAUGGAGGUGGAGGAAUCAAUAAAUUCCCCUCCUCCCCCUAAUCCAAACCCUUAUUCUCAGAUUCCGGAUUUAGUCGCCGCAAAUGCAAAUAUGGAUUACUUUCACUUCUCUCAAAUGCAGAUGUUUUACCAAAUGCAAAUGUUUUAUCAAAUGCAUUUGAAUUGUUUUAGCAGCCAGCCGCUUUUGCCUAUGGUACCUAUGUAUGUUCAUUUUUUUAUGUCUUUUUAUAUGCGGUUUUGGUAUUUUCCCUUCUAAGCAAACUCUUUUGCGCCAUUUGAUCUUUUAUUGAACUAUUUCAGGCUCCGUAUUGAAUUGAAAAACUCUUUCAGGCUCCGUAUUGUAUUUAUAAACUCUUUAAGGCUCCGUAUUGUAUUUAUAAACUCUUUCAGGCUCCGUAUUGAAUUGAAAAACUCUUUCUGGCUCCGUAUUUCAAACUCGAAUUGGAUUUUGUGUCGGCUGGCCGGUAGGACCGCCAGCCCGCAGAUGUAGGGAGGUUUCCCCUUGAACUGAGAAAUCAAAGUCGCGAUCUGAUAGGUAUCUAUCCGGACCAUGCAUCUGGAAAGCGCCGGUUCGAUUCCGGCUCGUGACAUGAAGAAGAAGUCCCAAACAGGGAUCAGAUGAGUUUGCACAGCGUUACUUUGUUGACGAAAAAUCUAAUUGUUCUUCCAGUUCAAUGAAGACUAUGCUUACUUUCCUUUCUCUUACCGGUCUGUGUUCUAUCAUGGACCUGUAUUCCGUUCCUCGAAUCGAGACUUUCUUUUGGUAUGAUUUUGAUACGAGUUUUCUAUCAAAACUCUAUGCCAUCAAUCACUAUCCCCGGGGAUAGAAUCCAGCUCCCGGCGUACCUGAUAACUACGCUCAUAUACGUCAAUUCAUGGAAGAUGCUCAGGGGAACGAAUCCAUAUAGGAAACCCCUCUAGGGGAAGGGACAACUGGUUAGUUUGUGUUAACAUAUCAAGGGAUACCAAUCAUUGCCAGGUAUGGUGGGAAAAAAAGCAACCUAUUGUAUUUUCCUUACUCCAGUGGGCUUUAACUAGACCUGUUUACUUAGCUUGAUCUUUGUGCUCUCGGCAUAGGUAGGAUGUAUCUCUGGAUUAUCCAUGGUAUGCUUCCAUUGUUGCACCUUAGCCCGGUAUAGUAGAAGGCGGUCCAUGCUAUUCAUGAGUUGAUAAGCUCCAUUCCAUCGAUAGGGAUCAACCCAGCUGCAUAGCUUUAAGAUCCUAAGCUACACCACAGCUAAAUCAACCAACGUCAGGGAUUCUAGCUCAAGAUCAGGAAAGAGCUUCGUUCCCUCCCGCCUGCUGGCUAGAGUUAUACCAUCCACUCUUGCUGUUGACUGUGAAGUAGCGUAAAACCCUCUAUCGCGUCUGUUUGUUUGCCGUUGUACGAAAGUCUAUCGAUUCAAGAAUUUGCAAAUCCCUUGGGUUCUUUGCCGAGGUUAGCCUAGCAUUGGAAGCCCUGGUGGAUAGCCUUGCUUUGAAGAUGAGGAUUAUGAUGUAAUCACUACAAACAAUAUGGUAGCAACCACUUUCCAUUUCACCAGAAAAUUACAGUACUGCUUUAACAUUCUUUAAAGAGAAUUUGGAGAACCAACCCUUUCCCCAGAUACGAAUAAAGGAGACUGCUUUCUGUAUAAUUGUGCUUAUGCAGCUAGAAACCCAUUUUAUGUUUCUGUCAUUUUCCCAAAUGCUCGCAGCAUGUAGUAACAACAACCAACUUGGUUGGUAUUAUAUGCAGAGAUUACCUCAUCAGCUAGAUGCCUCAGCUAGUGCUUAUCAGCUAAUAAGCUACUUCGAAAAGACCAGAUACUGGAGAACAUGGUGGAGGAAGCAGCAAGUGAUUUCUUCAAGACGGCGCUCUUCAUUGUUGCAGCUGGAUCCAAUGACAUAUUUUGGAGUAUCUUUCGCCUUCAGUACCGUUCUUUGGACGAGAGAAGCCUUAUCCUUCAGACUUUUUGGACGUGUUGGUUUCCAAUCUGUCAUUUUAUCAGAAGGUUCCGCCAAUUUAUCACUACUGUAGUUUAGUGUCGCUUGCUCUUGUUUGCUGCAGACCUCUAUUUUCUUUCCAUCGAUUAAGAGGCUAAAUGAACAGGGUGCUCGAAAGUUUGUUGUGUCCGACGUCGGGCAACUCGGUUUUAUACCGUACGUUCGUGCUCUGGAGAUACGUACGAUAUCGUGACGGAGAUCAUUCUGCACUACCGUCAAUACGGUACGCUUUUCUUCCUCGCUGCUUCCCGCAAAUGAUGUGCUUCAGACUUCUGAACACGAAAUGGCAAUACUUAGAAUCCAAUUCUUGCUUUGUAUUAACACCUCUGGACGUUACCUGAGCUGACUGUGCAUAUGAAGAACCCCAGUGGUAAACGAAACUUUUGUUCAUUGACUACAUUGCCUGGUUUUGAUAAUGCGCAGGACCCGUGCAGCGGCGGCUGCUUCCCUCCGUUCCUCUGCUUUGGCGCAGCCAAACUCCUGACUCUUCCUCGUCAAUUUCAUUGCCUUAAUGGCAGUUAUCCCUUUCUUCGAUAAAUGGAGCCGUGUGAUAGCGCAGGUAGUCGCAUAGUUUCAUUCCCUGGAUGGCUAAUGCUUAACACUGGUCGGAUACCAUAAGUUAUGGUUGUGCUCGCUCGGCAAAUUCUAUCGGUUCAGCAGCGUCCUUAGUAGGAGCGGAAGGGAUGUAGCGAGGAGCCGAAACCUACCGUUACGGAACCGUGGAAAAAGCCGAAACCUAGGGUAUUCCCUGAUCUGAACUUCAAUAACAACCAUUGCCUUACGUACCAUUGGCUGGGAAAGGAAGGUGCCGUUUGCCGCAAGUAGAUCUAGCUGAUUGACUCGUUCAUAGUCGAAAACUAAUGCAUCGAACCCUUUGCCGAUCGAAAGAUUAGGAACCGUCCUCCUUUUACCGGAUACCCUUGCCGAAGAAGGGCUGUAAAUAUCUUGUACGUAUGUUUCCUAGGAUCUACUACAUGAAAAUGAAAAAGUAUUGGCUUGAGUUCUUUCGCGAUAGGCCCUUGCAAUAAAAUGCUUUGAAGAUGAGGAUUCAGUGGGGAUGACAUUAUCGCCAUACGCUAUUGGAUUUCUCCCGGGCUUUGCCUUUGCUGAAACUGUUCCGUUGACAUCCUUUGCCGUAGAACUUAUCUUCUUGGAAAACGGAGGAUAUUACCUUUGAUUUUGUUAGAGGAGGUAGGAAGCCGAGCAUUGGGAACUAGCCGUUAUAGGGUUUCGGAAAAAGGGUUGAUAACUCCCUUUGCUUUGUCAAUUAAGAAAAAUAGAAUGUGCUUACCUUCGUGAUAUUCCCUUUUCUUUGAUCCUUUCGGUUUUGAACUGCGCUUUGCCCGUACUAGGUCUUGAAACUUAGCUUCAACCUCUCUGUAGGAAUGAAGGUUCUUUUCAUGCAAUUUAUCGUAUGAUAAUGAAUCGAGUUUCGAAACACGGUUGUUGUAGGGAGUUAUUUCUUUCUUAAAGGAAGGCUCUCUGCUCCAUUGGGUGACGAUUCAAUGGUUCUAUUCAUCCUAUUCCUAGGUCGAUCCGUUAACUUGGGUUUUGUUUACCAGUUGGUUAGGUCAACUUGUGGCAUAGCUGUAUUGGACGCGAUACGGUGAACGAGUCCCUUUUUGCUUUCCGAUACUUUCUUGAAGGAAUAGCAUCUGAGUACAAUAGUGUAGAGUUCCCCGCACUAAACAUUGCAAAGAGUCUAAAAGAGGUGAAAGAGCUAUAAAGAACUAAGGAAGAAGCCAUUUGUAGCACUAAGAGGAAGAUGUCUCACAACCAGCCUACGGAUAAUACAUGCCGAUAUAGGAAUGAAGCAUGCAUAAACUCGUAAGUCAAUAGUGAAUUUGGUUGCAUCGAAGGCGGAUAAAUUCAAUAAUGAGGGCCGCCCGCAGAUGAUAGCAAUUCGUCUUCACUAAGAGCUAACGACUAGAAAUCUAGCAAAUAGGACGCUUUGUCAAUUGAAUUAGUAAGUUAUCCUGGUCUAGAGGGUGUUCUUCCUCCCCACUCUAGAGGCUAAACCAGUUAGAAAAGCGUCCCCCGGGAGUUUCGCAGUAGUAGAUGACGUUCCUGGUACUAGUAGUCCAUAGAACUAAGAUUUGCAUGCAUGGUGGGUAACAGCAUUGUAUCUAUCUUUUGCAGUCUGUAAAUACGUAUCCCAAAGUUGUAGAUUCUGCUUCUUAAGGGCUGGGUGUCAAAGUCCUCAGUAGGUGGUUUGGUCCUUCAAAUGCCUAUCUGUUGUAGUAGUCCCCAAAGGCGGAGCUUUAUUAGUUGUAGGUGGACGGACCUCAAGUCCUUUCCUUUCUCUAACGCUAAUACCGCGGCCUGUCAUGAUUGUUGUCAAAGAUGAAGGCCAUACUGUAGUCAUAAGAUUGCGUGUCGUGUCGUUAUUCUAUAUCGUGUACAGAUUCUCAUAUGUGUUGUCAUUCCAGUACAGCUAAUCCGUGAACAGCUAACCAUCGUACUGUCAAAAUGGGAUAGGUUCGAUCUAUGGUCAUGGAAGGCCUCCUAAAAAGAUCUACUAAAUUCAUCGAGUUGUUCCAAAGAAUCAAAGCGCCCAGUUAUUAAGAAAAUCCCUUGUCGGCUUUCCGUGAAAUAUUCGUUUGGCCGAGGACUUCCAUAGCUGUUCCUAUUUCAACUAGGUAGGCCUUCGGUAUUCAUGCUUCCUUCUAUCAAGAGCAUUGUGGCAGUACGAAAUCCUUCCUCAGCCUUGUUUCUAAUUUUCACCGGGCAUAUCCGAUUUUUGGACACUUGCUGCAUCCCUUUUCUUGCUGCAUUAGCUUAACCGUUCGCUUCUUUCCAUUGCUUCAACGCUUGUUUCAAGCAAUAGUCAAGAGUUACUAAAGUAGUUUGUCCUAUUCAAAGCUAUAAUCAGUGACUAAUAUGCACACAACAAUAAAGACUGUUGUUUUUUCUAGUGAGAAAUCGAGUACUAUUUUUACACAGCUAUAGCGUCUGAGAAUUUGACAGAAAAGCAAGGUUCAAAGCCCACGGAGCGGUAGGUCGACAUUCCUUCUUCUUUCCAAGCUUCUGGUGGUAUCUAUACCUUUCGAGACCAAACCCUGCUACAAUUCAUUGCUGGAAGAGACUGCUAGAUUUCUUUUUCAUAGUUCGCUUCAGGGUUGUAGAUAAUGCUCUAUCAAAGAGAGCCAGCGUACGUGCUCGAAAGCGUUAGUCAACUAGCUACUUGUCCUUGCUUUUCUCUAGUGUGCCCCUUCAUUCAAUCUCUAACUCAAUGUCUACCCACAUACCUUUCCUUUCUGAAUCAGGAAUAGCCGACUCAGGGUAAAUGCUUUUCCCAGCUCAAAGGCAAUGACUAGUAGAUCCGGUGGUACCUAGAAAGCGAACAAAUGUUCCCAUGGUCAUGAUUGUUGACUAAACAGCCCUUUCUCUGAUUCCCCUUGCCGACUUUGAACGAACUCAUGCUUGAAUGAGAACAAGCGAUUUGCGACUUUGGUCCAUGAAUUAUAAGAUCAUGAACAACCGAUUAUGCGACAUCUCUCUUAGCUUAUAGAAAGAGCUGAAAUACUACAACCGAUAUUGCGACAUCUAAUCCAAACAAUAUCGGUUGUUCAUCUUCGUUUGAUUUGCGACAUCUGAUUCAACAAAUGCAAGUUCGUCUUCGUCUGAUUUGUCAAUGGGAAAACGAAAUCAUGGGUGGAGGAAGAGGCUGUGAUCGAUAAAGGGGAUGAUGAUGACUUCCAUCUUUCUAUGGAUUUUCUCUCAUUAUAAAUCGAAAGAUCAGGUCAAAGCCUUCCAAACCAUCCACUGGAUUUUCAUGUUCGUAAGGGAGGAAUAUGUGUGUGUUGUAUAUAAAUAAAGGACUUUCGAUUUAGCGUUGUCAUUUUCACGAGUUUUUAGAUAAUCCAAUUUUAUGUGAGAUUACUUUCAUUUUUACUGAAUCACUUGAAUCAGUUAAAGGAGACGAGGCUUCUGGCCCAGCCAGAGGGGCUGUAGAGGAGAGUUUUGACUGCGGGAGAGGCAGGUCCAGGUAACGGGGAGAAUCCGCUAGGCUGAGGUUGAGUGGCUCACUUCCUUGAGAAUAUAGAAUCUAUAACUAAGAAAUGAGAAUUGUUGACCCAUAUGAUCUCAGGCUCAUAAAGAGGAUGAAACUGGUAAUUUCAUUCACACUUUGAAAUUGAGCUCGUCAGUGAUCUUUUCCAAGGUGUCUAGAGAAACCUGCUUUGAACAUGACAUUCGUACCCAAGGAAAGUUUUGGCAGGCAUUACUAUGAUCUUGAAGCCCUUGCUAGGAGCUAGUCGGUACGGCUCACUACUAAAGAAGGUUCUGGCAUGCUUUGACUUAGCCCUGUGAUCCGCUAAUUCAUCUCUUGAUCUGGUAUUCCGCAAAGGAGGUGGAUAGGGUCAGCCUUUUCUUCAUGGAUAUGUUGAUCUAUCAGACCUAUCUAUAGUGGAAUACUAGAUUCUUUGCUACUUCCUGGAUUAUCCCUGUGUUUGCUGUUUCCAGAUCCUACCUUCUUGUCCUUUGCGCUCAAGUCUAUGGCCAGUACUGCCCGGGGCAAUAUUAGCAGUUUUCUGAGGGUUCCAUCGCCUCUUGGUUGGUUUUUCUCCGCAAGCAGAGCAAGCUAGUUCACAUCCGAUUAUCCUUACCGCACUAACCAUUGCUGGCGAGGUAGCCUUGCCCUAACGUCAUAGAGAAGACGUGCCGCAGCUGCCUUUCUAAGACCUGGUACAAGUGAUGACCUUGCUGAUAAGGGUCGAAUGCGUAGUUCAUUCGCAUGUCUUUCGAAAGAAUUGAUAGUUGAUGACGGAACGAACUGUUCGACCUUGAUUUCUUGGCUUUGAUGUUGUUAUCACAAUCAGGUUGCCAUAACACGCAUUGCUAUGUUGAGACACCAUGAUCUUGAAUCAGGAUUGGAUUGCCUUAUCUUAUUAGUAGGAAGAGGUGAAGUUCCCUUUUCUUUUCCCUGGGAAACGGUACCUGCAUUCCCGUGAGCUUUUCCUAUCCCAUUGCUCUCUAUUCUCUAAUUCCCUUAAUCAAACAAAGUUUAUAUACCCUCAGAUUUGGGGAUCCUUCUUUUCUGCACUUCCCCUUUUCUCUACUUCCCAUUGGAGUGUACGGGGCCAUUUUGAGAUAUGGGAUAGGUCCGUUUUCAUCAACCAGCAGGAGGAAAGCUAGCACAUUUACCUUAAUCCAUUGCACUACUGAGAAGUUUGAUGACUUCUCACCUUCAUAACAUACUUACCAAACCUAGUAAGGGAUUUUGUACCUUAAUCUAGUGAAAGGUGCACAUCCGAUCCCUAAUCUAGCUCUCUGUGCAGAAACCCAUUGGCAAAGAAACGGGUUGAUUCUUCGGUUCAAGUGAUGGUGGGGGAUCAAGAAGAGUGGCUAUGUGGGGUUUGAACUUGGACACGGGAUUAGCUUAAUUUGGAUAGUUCAUUUUAUCACUCCACUGGGCCCUUGGCCUUUCUCCCUAUGUGGAUGGAUGAUAAGAAAAAUGCCAAUCGAACCAAGUAAGGGCUCCGCGUGAAGCAUAUUAUGUAGAUCUAGCUGACAAUAAUAACUGAGAUCCUAUACAAAUAACGCAUUAGCGACCCCUUGGAUAGACAAUUCAUGCUACUCGACUCACCAUCACUCUUUAGAUACAUUCGACCAAAAGCAAGCUUACCAAUAAGAAACAGCUGGCAUGGCAGUAUCUUCUAUAUCUUCUAUAAUGAAUAUAAUGUGCACACCUGGCUUUAACCAGAUAAAAUCUAGUACAGUGGGAAGGAUGUCAUAUUUCUGGUCCACUACUUAGACUCUACGAGGGCUUUAGGUGAGGAACUACUUAUCUCCCGAGGCACCCUUCUCCUGAGUCCUACCCAGCUCAAGUUUAAGAAUGCGCACAGCCCCAAGGAUAGGUAGAGGGGGAUCUUGUUCUGUUCAGUGCCGCCUCUUCCUCGGCCAUUCAAGAAAGGGAUUUGCUUCUUCUUACAGGUCCUUGAGAAAAAGAAGAAAGAUAGGAAAGGAAUUAGGGCGUUGCCGAAGGCAAUGGUCUAGCUUGUGUGAAUGGAUUUCAUUGUUUUUUUAGAUUCCACUAUUUGUUCGAUAGCAAGCAAACUCUCCCAAUUUAGGACCUUCAGUGAUCUUACAACGAACAUUGUAAAUGACAAUCAACGAAUUCCGGCGAAAUAGAAGAUCUACGGGUCACCAUAGUCUUCUGAUACACAAAUAGGAUUCCGCACUCUUAAACAAGAGGUUGCCACUUAGCAUAAGGAAAGGGAAGAGUAAGGCCAGCAUUGACUAGAGCUACUGAUAUCUCGGGACACUAUGUGAAAUAGCUACGAUAUGCUUGCUAUUCUGGGAAGAUAAGUCAUGCCUUAGGAAACUAGUCAUGUUAUGAUCGAAUUGGAAUGUGCGGGCUUUGUGACUACCACUGAUUGGAGGAUCAAGAAGCCUACUAGUUCACUCUUCCUGCGAUAUCUGAUCAAUCGCUCCUGCCGGUUGUACAGAUUCUAUCACUGGCUUUAGGUUAUUCCUUCUCGGACCUGACGUCUCCAUCACUACUAAUAAGGAAGGCUACUUUCUUUUGUAUCGGGCCUUCAAAACGCAACGCAGUAGAAACAGAUAGCUGAGUAGAGAGUGCGGCCGAAGCAUCCAAGCUUAGCGAUUAUGUUCUUAUAGAUAAGGAUUAGACGGAUGUAGACAACCAAUAAAUCUAAGGUGAACCAAUAGAAAUAGAGUCUGGUGGAAGCGGUCAUCCCGUGGGGAGAGACUCAAGAAUAUGAUAAUAUGAUGACUCCGCUGCGUUGCUCUGCUGACUAGCCGUUUCCUCUUCUAAGUAAAUAACCAGCUUCAGUUCAUGCUCCUUGCUGGCAUAACCAUAUUAAGCUGCAUUGGAUAAACAAUCGAAACUCUGUAAUUGUUAAUAGUAGGGUAGCGAAGUAGCCGGGGUUGCACGCGUCAUCAGAAUUCUAGUAUAAGGAAGCGACGGGAAGGGAAAGGUGAUUACAAAAUACGAAUACGUAAGGGUUGUGUUUAUUGACUAUCACAGGAAAAUGGGAAGAAUUUAUCACACAUGGUAUCAGAGCUGAUACCUUCACCCAAACUGUAGACGCCGGCGGUGAAGAAGGAGGUGAGGGCGCUUGCUUUGAUUAGGCUUACUGUAAGUUUGUUUGAAGCUCCGGAGUCUAGUCUACCAAUGGGUGCUAUGGUGUGUCCUCCCCUCUAAGGUCUCGCUUGGAUAAUCGACUCUUACGACCCACACAGGAGAGGGUUUUUCCCAACCGUUCAUGCCUCUCGGCUAUGAAAUAAAAGAGUGGGCUCUUUGAAGCUAGGUAUUAAGCACAGGAAGGUAUGGGAAUAUAGCGAGCACUUUCUUAAACCGAGAUGUGAGACUACUAAAGAGGAAGGUAAAGUGGGAAGUGGGAUUCAUGAUGCAAGCU
rnacentral:lncRNA from 1 species